UACGUAGGGGGCGAGCGUUGUCCGGAAUCAUUGGGCGUAAAGAGCUCGUAGGCGGUUCUGCAAGUCGGCUGUGAAAUUCCGAGGCUCAACCUCGGAACUGCAGUCGAUACUGCUGUGACUCGAGUCCGGUAGAGGAGAAUGGAAUUCCCGGUGUAGCGGUGAAAUGCGCAGAUAUCGGGAGGAACACCAGUAGCGAAGGCGGUUCUCUGGGCCGGUACUGACGCUGGGGAGCGAAAGCGUGGGGAGCAAACAGG
rnacentral:rRNA from 1 species